rnacentral:rRNA from 1 species
AGAGUUUGAUCCUGGCUCAGAUUGAACGCUGGCGGAACGCUUUACACAUGCAAGUCGAACGGUAACGUGGGGAGGAGCUUGCUCCACCCCGACGACGAGUGGCGAACGGGUGAGUAAUACAUCGGAACGUGUCCGCUUGUGGGGGACAACCAGCCGAAAGGUUGGCUAAUACCGCAUGAGUUCUACGGAAGAAAGAGGGGGACCCGCAAGGGCCUCUCGCGAGCGGAGCGGCCGAUGACUGAUUAGCCGGUUGGUGAGGUAACGGCUCACCAAAGCAACGAUCAGUAGCUGGUCUGAGAGGACGACCAGCCACACUGGGACUGAGACACGGCCCAGACUCCUACGGGAGGCAGCAGUGGGGAAUUUUGGACAAUGGGCGCAAGCCUGAUCCAGCUAUUCCGCGUGUGGGAUGAAGGCCCUCGGGUUGUAAACCACUUUUGUAGAGAACGAAAAGACACCUUCGAAUAAAGGGUGUUGCUGACGGUACUCUAAGAAUAAGCACCGGCUAACUACGUGCCAGCAGCCGCGGUAAUACGUAGGGUGCGAGCGUUAAUCGGAAUUACUGGGCGUAAAGGGUGCGCAGGCGGUUGAGUAAGACAGAUGUGAAAUCCCCGAGCUUAACUCGGGAAUGGCAUAUGUGACUGCUCGACUAGAGUGUGUCAGAGGGAGGUGGAAUUCCACGUGUAGCAGUGAAAUGCGUAGAUAUGUGGAAGAACACCGAUGGCGAAGGCAGCCUCCUGGGACAUAACUGACGCUCAGGCACGAAAGCGUGGGGAGCAAACAGGAUUAGAUACCCUGGUAGUCCACGCCCUAAACGAUGUUAACUAGUUGUUGGGAAGUAACAUUCUCAGUAACGCAGCCAACGCGAGAAGUUAACCGCCUGGGAAGUACGGUCGCAAGACUAAAACUCAAAGGAAUUGACGGGGACCCGCACAAGCGGUGGAUGAUGUGGAUUAAUUCGAUGCAACGCGAAAAACCU